rnacentral:rRNA from 1 species
AGAGUUUGAUCAUGGCUCAGAUUGAACGCUGGCGGCAGGCCUAACACAUGCAAGUCGAGCGGAAACGGCAGCAUUGAAGCUUCGGUGGAUUUGCUGGACGUCAAGCGGCGGACGGGUGAGUAACGGCUGGGAACCUGCCCUGACGAGGGGGAUAACCGUUGGAAACGACGGCUAAUACCGCAUAAUGUCUUGGUUCGUUAGGAUCAGGACCAAAGGUGGCCUCUACAUGUAAGCUAUCGCGUUGGGAUGGGCCCAGUUAGGAUUAGCUAGUUGGUAAGGUAAUGGCUUACCAAGGCAACGAUCCUUAGCUGGUUUGAGAGGAUGAUCAGCACACUGGGACUGAGACACGGCCCAGACUCCUACGGGAGGCAGCAGUGGGGAAUAUUGCACAAUGGGGGAGACCCUGAUGCAGCCAUGCCGCGUGUGUGAAGAAGGCCUUCGGGUUGUAAAGCACUUUCAGCAGUGAGGAAGGUCGUGUACUUAAUACGUGCACGGCUUGACGUUAGCUGCAGAAGAAGCACCGGCUAACUCCGUGCCAGCAGCCGCGGUAAUACGGAGGGUGCGAGCGUUAAUCGGAAUUACUGGGCGUAAAGCGCAUGCAGGCGGUUUGUUAAGUCAGAUGUGAAAGCCCGGGGCUCAACCUCGGAACCGCAUUUGAAACUGGCAGGCUAGAGUCUUGUAGAGGGGGGUAGAAUUUCAGGUGUAGCGGUGAAAUGCGUAGAGAUCUGAAGGAAUACCAGUGGCGAAGGCGGCCCCCUGGACAAAGACUGACGCUCAGAUGCGAAAGCGUGGGUAGCAAACAGGAUUAGAUACCCUGGUAGUCCACGCUGUAAACGAUGUCUACUUGGAGGUUGAGGUUUUAGACUUUGGCUUUCGGCGCUAACGCAUUAAGUAGACCGCCUGGGGAGUACGGCCGCAAGGUUAAAACUCAAAUGAAUUGACGGGGGCCCGCACAAGCGGUGGAGCAUGUGGUUUAAUUCGAUGCAACGCGAAGAACCUUACCUACUCUUGACAUCCAGCGAAGCCUUUAGAGAUAGAGGCGUGCCUUCGGGAGCGCUGAGACAGGUGCUGCAUGGCUGUCGUCAGCUCGUGUUGUGAAAUGUUGGGUUAAGUCCCGCAACGAGCGCAACCCUUAUCCUUGUUUGCCAGCACGUAAAGGUGGGAACUCCAGGGAGACUGCCGGUGAUAAACCGGAGGAAGGUGGGGACGACGUCAAGUCAUCAUGGCCCUUACGAGUAGGGCUACACACGUGCUACAAUGGCAGAUACAGAGGGCAGCGAGACAGCGAUGUUGAGCGAAUCCCUUAAAGUUUGUCGUAGUCCGGAUUGGAGUCUGCAACUCGACUCCAUGAAGUCGGAAUCGCUAGUAAUCGUGGAUCAGAAUGCCACGGUGAAUACGUUCCCGGGCCUUGUACACACCGCCCGUCACACCAUGGGAGUGGGCUGCACCAGAAGUAGAUAGCUUAACCUUCGGGAGGGCGUUUACCACGGUGUGGUUCAUGACUGGGGUGAAGUCGUAACAAGGUAGCCCUAGGGGAACCUGGGGCUGGAUCACCUCCUU